GCUCCUUUGGCUCAGCUGGUAGAGCGUCAGUCUCAUAAUCUGAAGGUCGCCAGUUCGAGCCUGGCAGGGAGCA
rnacentral:tRNA from 2 species